UUUCUCUCCCUUACUCCAGACCGAUGGAAAGGCAUGUCUCUUGGGGCCUUCCCUCCCAGCAACAUCUUCAUGGUAUUACAGUGCUAUAAAAUUUUCCCACAGCCUGCCUCCAUCCAUGAACCUCAGAUCCCAUUCCAAAAGUUUAUGAGAGCCAGCUCUCAGCUGCUUAGCCUGCUCCUUCUUACCAAUAAGAAGAGGGGGAAGCAAUUCAUGAAGAUGCAGCUGGUCUGGACUCCUAGGAUACAUGGUAUUUGGAGUUCUCAUCAAAGGAGUGCUGGAAGGAUGAAGGUCAAAGAUGCUUCAUUCCCGAAAGAGGUGCAUUUGAGGAGCUCUUUUUGCCAGAGGGGACAGAUUUUACUGGCUGGUUUCUCAUGCACUCCACAUGUUGUGUUUUCAAAUGAAGAAGAAGAAAAAGAAGAUUGUCCCACUUUCCACAUUUUUCAAUAGGGUUGGGGCAGGGAGCGAGGAGAAAUGAAGCUUUUUUCAUUCUGGGAGUCAGCAGGGCAGAAAGUAGCAGAGUGACAAGCAAGUACUGUGUUUAUUAACAUCUUGAAAACCAAUCAGGGGACAAGGUGACAAGUCUUUAAAGUCUGUCUGGGUAAGUAACAGCUGUAUUCUUGCCGCUUAAGUAGUGCAAAGUGAUUGAAUUUUUAUGACGGGGAAAGAAACCUCAACUGAAUAUAAUAUCCCAGUGUUGUUCUGAUUCCUAUUGCCAUAACUGAUUUGGCUUGUCUUAUAACUAAUAUAAAAAAUAUUUUCCUGUUUUGCUCAACAGUAGUGUAACUAUGGAGCCCCUGGUGGUGCAUCAGGUUAAACCUCUGAUCUGCUGAAAUUGCUGAGUGAAAAGUUGGCGGCUUGGAUCCGGGGAGCAGGGUGAGCUCCCACUGUCGGCCCCAGCUUCUACCAACCUAGCAGUUCGAAAACAUGCAAAUGUGAGUAGAUCAAUAUGUACUGCUCUGGCGAAACAGUAAUGGCGCUCCAUGAAGUCAGGCCAGCCACAGGACCUUGGAGGUGUCUACAGGCAACACCGGCUCUUUGCCUUAGAAAUGGAGAUGAGCACCAAUCCCCAGAGUCAGACAUGACUAGACUUAAUGUCAGGGGAAAACAUUUACCUUUAGUGUAACUAUAGAUGGAUUGAUAAGGAUGUCUGUCCCAGGUACAAAACAAACUUCACAACUUUGGCCAUGUAAUACAUUGGACAUUAUUAAAAUUAUGAUGAAUUACUUGGUUUUUUUCAGUCUGGAAAUCCUUAACUAUAUUUUCAAAGUGGUGGGUGAAAUGCCCGAAAUCAGUUCACUUAGAAACUCAGAAAGGAAAAACACCAAGCAGAUUUGCUGCAUUUCAGCUUUUAAUUGACUCUAUGCUGGCAUGUUUCAUUGGUUUGGUUUUUCGUAAAAAGAACUAAACUAGCCAAUGAAAUAUGCUAGUAGAUAAUAUUAGAUACUCCCAUCAAUUUUAUUAUCCAUUAGCUCCACCAAAUGUAGUCCAAGAAAAGGACAAUAGAUCUGGAAGUUGGUUCUACCUGCAGAACUAUUUUUAAUUACAAAUCCACAUCUUUCAUCAAUUUUCAUGUCAGUUCUUUAACUGGCACAGUUGAAAGCCGAGAGACCCUUUCAAUAGUUCUGUAAACUAAUAUGUUAAGGUGCUGACUGGAUUGCAGCCAUAUUGUUGGUAUUUUAAAUAUCUUCCUGUUGUACUGAUAAAUUACCUUCUCUUAAGUGCUGUCUUCCACUUUGCUGACAUUUCAUUCUUUACACCCUUGACAAAUGUCAUACAGUUCGUGUCUGAGAGCAUGUAUACAGGGACUUUUAUUUUCCUUCUCAGAAUUAGCCUUUCCUAUCAUGUUUACACAGUUUUAAUCCACCAGGUCACCUCGCCUGUUUCCUCAUCCCACACAUAUUUUUGACAUUUUUGUCAUGCUCCCAAACCCUCUGAUAACCUUGAUGAUUCCAUGCAUGAUAUUAUUUUAACAACACGUUUUUUUAAAAAGUAUUUGUGGGAAAUUGAACUUUUAUUGUUUAUUAUUAAAGAGCCCC
rnacentral:lncRNA from 11 species